rnacentral:lncRNA from 1 species
CUGCCUGCCUGCCUGCCCUCUUGCUGUGCUCCUGCUUAAAGAAAUCAGUCCUUCCUUUCCGACUUAGUCCCCGGGAAGAAGUUUCAGCCUACGAGAUCUUAAAGCAACUUGUGCUACUUCAUUUGAAGAGAAUUAGGUAUGUUUUAUUGCAUUUUUAUUUAUUUUUAACAUAAAUUUUUGAAAUGUAUUCCUUUAUUUAUUUGGCUGCUUUGGGUCUUAGUUGUGACACAUGGACUUAGUUGCCCUGCUGCAUGUGGG